AUAUCUCAACUGCUCUCAGCAUUUAAUGUUGGGAGUGAAGUUGGAAUUGGAGGAUAAUUGCUGGCGUGACCUUAAGUGGUUGCUUGUUGGCUCCUCUUGAAUGUAUGAGCUUUUCUAAUAGAUUAUGGCUUAAAGAACAGUAAUGUGAUAAUUAUCUACAUUAGUUGUGAAAAAGCUGUGAGUUUGAGUGACUUCAAGUAUGAAGGAACUCCUAUAGAAAAGGAUGAGUCUCGGAAAUAUUUUGGGACUUUGAUAUAUUGACAC
rnacentral:misc_RNA from 1 species